rnacentral:rRNA from 1 species
CCCGCGACAAGCGGUGGAGUAUGUGGUUUAAUUCGAUGCAACGCGAAGACCUUACCAAGGCUUGACAUGUCGCGAAUCUUCUUGAAAGGGAAGAGUGCCUUCGGGAGCGCGAACACAGUGGUGCAUGGCUGGUCGUCAGCUCGUGUCGUGAGAUGUUGGGUUAAGUCCCGCAACGAGCGCAACCCUCGUUCUAUGUUGCCAGCACGUAAUGGUGGGAACUCAUAGGAGACUGCCGGGGUCAACUCGGAGGAAGGUGGGGAUGACGUCAAAUCAUCAUGCCCCUUAUGUCUUGGGCUUCACGCAUGCUACAAUGGCCGGUACAAAGGGCUGCAAUACCGCAAGGUGGAGCGAAUCCCAAAAAGCCGGUCUCAGUUCGGAUUGAGGUCUGCAACUCGACCUCAUGAAGUCGGAGUCGCUAGUAAUCGCAGAUCAGCAACGCUGCGGUGAAUACGUUCCCGGG